rnacentral:rRNA from 1 species
CAAAUGAAUUGACGGGGGCCCGCACAAGCGGUGGAGCAUGUGGUUUAAUUCGAUGCAACGCGAAGAACCUUACCUGGUCUUGACAUCCACAGAACUUUUCAGAGAUGAUUUGGUGCCUUCGGGAACUGUGAGACAGGUGCUGCAUGGCUGUCGUCAGCUCGUGUUGUGAAAUGUUGGGUUAAGUCCCGCAACGAGCGCAACCCUUAUCCUUUGUUGCCAGCGGUCCGGCCGGGAACUCAAAGGAGACUGCCAGUGAUAAACUGGAGGAAGGUGGGGAUGACGUCAAGUCAUCAUGGCCCUUACGACUAGGGCUACACACGUGCUACAAUGGCGCAUACAAAGAGAAGCGACCUCGCGAGAGCAAGCGGACCUCAUAAAGUGCGUCGUAGUCCGGAUUGGAGUCUGCAACUCGACUCCAUGAAGUCGGAAUCGCUAGUAAUCGUGGAUCAGAAUGCCACGGUGAAUACGUUCCCGGGCCUUGUACACACCGCCCGUCACACCAUGGGAGUGGGUUGCAAAAGAAGUAGGUAGCUUAACCUUCGGGAGGGCGCUUACCACUUUGUGAUUCAUGACUGGGGUGAAGU